GGCUGGUCCGAUGGUAGUGGGUUAUCAGAACUUAUUAACAUCAGUGUCACUAAAGUUGGUAUACAACCCCCCACUGCUAAAUUUGACUGGCUAAAA
rnacentral:Y_RNA from 1 species